GCCAGGAUGGCCGAAUCUGGUAAGGCGCACGCUUGGAGAGCGUGUUCCCGUUUCGGGAUUCUGGGUUCAAAUCCCAGUCCUGGCG
rnacentral:tRNA from 1 species